GUGUGUUUGGUUAAUGGGGAAGCCUCUGCCUGCCUCCUUCCUCCUUCCUUCCCUCCCUUCUUCUCCUCCUUCUCUCCCUCUCCUCCCUUCCCUUCCCCUCUCCCUCUCCCUCUCUCUUCCUCGCCUGCCUCGCUUUGCCUUGCCUUGCGGCUCAGCCAACCCACCCCUGCGCUGCGAGCUUAGUUGCUGCCGCCCGCUGCAUUGUGAGAGAAGCAGAAGAAGAAGAGAUCCGAUGAGGACUUGCGAGUCGGGACUGCAGCCGACGCGGAGAGAAAGAGGAAAAGAAGGAAGCGAGGUUGUGCAGCCCAACUCUGUCCUCGCCAUCCGAGGUGUCCUGCAGCCGCGCGCAGCGGAUCCUGCCUCAUCCUUCCUCAUCCUUCCUCCACUUGCCGCCUUUUGAUUGACAGCUGGAGUGCCCCAAA